rnacentral:rRNA from 1 species
UCCACGCUGUAAACGAUGAGUACUAGCUAUUGGAUUCGGUGUAAAGGAUCUAGUGGCGCAGCUAACGCGUUAAGUACUCCGCCUGGGGACUACGGCCGCAAGGCUAAAACUCAAAGGAAUUGACGGGGACCCGCACAAGCGGUGGAGCAUGUGGUUUAAUUCGAUGCAACGCGAAGAACCUUACCUGGUCUUGACAUCCUGAGAACUUUCUAGAGAUAGUUUGGUGCCUUCGGGAACUCAGUGACAGGUGCUGCACGGCUGUCGUCAGCUCGUGUUGUGAAAUGUUGGGUUAAGUCCCG